UGAACGGCCACAUUGGGACUGAGAUACGGCCCAGACUCCUACGGGAGGCAGCAGUCGGGAAUAUUGCGCAAUGGAGGAAACUCUGACGCAGUGACGCCGCGUAUAGGAAGAAGGUUUUCGGAUUGUAAACUAUUGUCGUUAGGGAAGAGAAAGGACAGUACCUAAGGAGGAAGCUCCGGCUAACUACGUGCCAGCAGCCGCGGUAAUACGUAGGGAGCGAGCGUUAUCCGGAAUUAUUGGGUGUAAAGGGUGCGUAGACGGGAAGAUAAGUUAGUUGUGAAAUCCCUCGGCUUAACUGAGGAACUGCAACUAAAACUGUUUUUCUUGAGUGCAGGAGAGGUAAGUGGAAUUCCUAGUGUAGCGGUGAAAUGCGUAGAUAUUAGGAGGAACACCAGUGGCGAAGGCGACUUACUGGACUGUAACUGACGUUGAGGCACGAAAGUGUGGGGAGCAAACAGGAUUAGAUACCCUGGUAGUCCACACCGUAAACGAUGGAUACUAGGUGUAGGAGAUAUUAAGUCUUCUGUGCCGUCGCAAACGCAGUAAGUAUCCCACCUGGGGAGUACGGCCGCAAGGUUGAAACUCAAAGGAAUUGACGGGGGCCCGCACAAGCAGUGGAGUAUGUGGUUUAAUUCGAAGCAACGCGAAGAACCUUACCAGGGCUUGACAUAUACAGGAAUACUUAAGAGAUUAAGUAGCUCUUCGGAGUCUGUAUACAGGUGGUGCAUGGUUGUCGUCAGCUCGUGCCGUGAGGUGUUGGGUUAAGUCCCGCAACGAGCGCAACCCCUGUUCUUAGUUGCCAGCAUGUAAAGAUGGGAACUCUAAGAAGACUGCCGUAGAUAAUACGGAGGAAGGUGGGGAUGACGUCAAAUCAUCAUGCCCUUUAUGUCCUGGGCUACACACGUACUACAAUGGAUGUUACAGAGGGAAGCUAAAUAGUGAUAUGGAGCGAAACCCAAAAAGCAUCCCCAGUUCGGAUUGUAGGCUGAAAUUCGCCUACAUGAAGCCGGAAUUGCUAGUAAUGGCAGGUCAGCAUACUGCCGUGAAUACGUUCCCGGGCCUUGUACACACCGCCCGUCACACCAUGAGAGUUGGGGAUACCCGAAGCCUGUGAGCCAACAGUUAAACGAGGCAGCAGUCGAAGGUAGAAUCAAUGAUUGGGGUGAAGUCGUAACAAGGUAGCCGUAUCGGAAGGUGCGGCUG
rnacentral:rRNA from 1 species